GGGCGUGUAGCGCAGGGGUAGCGCGCUUCCCUUGCAAGGAAGAGGUCACCGGUUCGAAUCCGGUCUCGUCCA
rnacentral:tRNA from 1 species